UGGGGAAUAUUGCACAAUGGGCGCAAGCCUGAUGCAGCCAUGCCGCGUGUAUGAAGAAGGCCUUCGGGUUGUAAAGUACUUUCAGCGAGGAGGAAGGCGGUAAGGUUAAUAACCUUAUCGAUUGACGUUACUCGCAGAAGAAGCACCGGCUAACUCCGUGCCAGCAGCCGCGGUAAUACGGAGGGUGCAAGCGUUAAUCGGAAUUACUGGGCGUAAAGCGCACGCAGGCGGUCUGUCAAGUCGGAUGUGAAAUCCCCGGGCUCAACCUGGGAACUGCAUUCGAAACUGGCAUGCUAGAGUCUUGUAGAGGGGGGUAGAAUUCCAGGUGUAGCGGUGAAAUGCGUAGAGAUCUGGAGGAAUACCGGUGGCGAAGGCGGCCCCCUGGACAAAGACUGACGCUCAGGUGCGAAAGCGUGGGGAGCAAACA
rnacentral:rRNA from 1 species